rnacentral:rRNA from 1 species
AGCGAACGCUGGCGGCAGGCCUAACACAUGCAAGUCGAGCGGCCAUAGCAAUACGGCAGCGGUAGACGGGAGAGUAACACGUGGGAACGCGCCCUUCGGUUCGGGAUAACCCAGGGAAACUUGGGCUAAUACCGGAUACGCCCUUACGGGGAAAGAUUUAUUGCCGAAGGAACGGCCCGCGUCCGAUUAGCUAGUUGGUGAGGUAACGGCUCACCAAGGCGACGAUCGGUAGCUGGUCUGAGAGGAUGACCAGCCUCACUGGGACUGAGACACGGCCCAGACUCCUACGGGAGGCAGCAGUGGGGAAUAUUGGACAAUGGACGCAAGCUUGAUCCAGCCAUGCCGCGUGGGUGAUGAAGGCCCUAGGGUUGUAAAGCUCUUUUGCCGGGGACGAUAAUGACGGUACCCGGAGAAUAAGUCCCGGCUAACUUCGUGCCAGCCGCCGCGGUAA